rnacentral:misc_RNA from 1 species
GUGAACGCCCUCACGGGCUUAUACUAUUCCAAACCUCUAUGAACCGUGCCCUUCGGGGCUAUUUUACAAACAUGGUGUAAUGAACGUCAUAUAUCAUAACAAAACA